UCUCUCGCUGUGUCUCUCUCUGUCAAAUAAAUAAAUAAAAUCUUAAAAAAAAAAAAAAAUACUCCAGAGUGCCACCCUCUCCAACUGAGCCUGUUUGGUUAUGUGUUUAUUUACUUAUUUUUUCUCAGUGGCUUGAUUGUGGGUUUCCUUUCCCCUUCAGGUGAGAAAAAUAUUAGGUUGCUACUAAAGAAACAGUAGUUCUCUCUGCAAAGGUUUGGAUCAAGAUUAAAUCUUGAGAGAGAGCACAAGCAGGAGGAGCAACAGGCAGAGAGAGGGAGAAGCAGACUCCCCGUUGAGCAGGGAGCCCGAUGUGGGGCUCGAUCCCAGGACCCCAGGAUCAUGACCCAAGCUGAAAGCAGACGCUUAACAACUGAGCCACCCAGGCGCCCCAGUGCAUGAUUUCUUUUUAAAGCAUCCAAAAUCUCUUCACAGGGCAGCUGCUUCUCCACCCACACUUAGCCUUAGCACCAUGUCUUCCACAUCGGAUGUAUUCCAUAGGAGUGAGUUGACAUAACUGAAUUGAGUUGGACACCCAGCAGAAUAAAUACCACACAGUUUAGUGCCACUGGUGCUAAAAUUCUUCAUGCAGACCAAAGCAGAUGUGAUGUCAUGUUCAAUUAUUGCUCAACUCUUGGCAAGGAUCUGAAGACAGAUAGAAACAUCUUGAUCUAUUUGUGCAAGAAGUCCGUGAUUGCAGCAUCUGCAGCAAGUAUAAAUUUUUAUCUUAAAAAUCGAUGUCUCUGGCCUGGAGAAAAUAAAUUAGAUUGAUUUUUUUUUUUUUUAAACACCAAAGACAGAGACUUCAUUAUCUCGAAAGGGGUUUGCUAUCCAUGUUAUUUAAGGAAAACAUAAUUGAAGAUACAACUUCAUCCUGGGUAUACUGGACUGAUUUGACACUAGACUUUUUUUUAAAAGGUAUAGGGCACUUUUGUCUUCAUUAUUGAAACAUCUCUGUAACUGGUCCUUCUCAAAGAGACUAUCUGCUGAAAUAUCACUAGGUUGCCAUUCAGGCGGAAGUGAGGAAGAUUUCUGGGAAGGUGUAACCCCUGACUGGAAGAAUCGCCUCUGAAGAACAUAUCUCCCCAUUGUCCUUCCUUCAGCUGGGCCUCAGUUUCUGCAACUGUAAAAUGAAUGGGCUGGUCGCCAGAUAAUCUUUAACAUUCCUUCUAAUUAAAACUUUCACAAUUCUUUGUUUUUGUUUUUGUUUUGUUUUGUUUUGUUUUUGCCAGCAGAAAUGAAGGGCAAUUGGUCAGCUGAUACCAAAUGAUGAAUCUUAGGUGUUUGUUGUCGUUGUUCUUCAAAGUGAUUCUGUGGGCACCUAGGUGGCUCAGUCUGUUAAGCCUCUCCCUUUGGCUCAGGUCAUGAUCCCAGGGUCCUGAGGUUGAGCCCCACAGCAUCAGGCUCAGUGCUUGGGCGGGGAGCCUGUUUCUCCCUCUUCCUCUGCCUGCCGCUCCCCCUGUUGUGCACUCUCUCUCUCUCUUUCUCUCUGUCAAAUAAAUAAAUAAAAUCUUUAAAAAAAAAGUGAUUCUUGUAAGGAAAGACUUCUGCUGUCACUAGGCCUCCCAAAGUAUUUGUGUCCACAGGUAAGGGUUUGCAUUUCAAAUAGAAACCCUGAAAAUAGCAGGAGGGUGAAGUCUGGCCUCUGUAAACCAGGCAUUGCUUAGAAUGAGUCACAGACUAUCUUAAAAAUACUGGAAAUCUUAAUUAGUGUUUUUUCUUCUUAAAUCAGUUUUACUGAGAUGCAAUUGACCUACACUAAAAUGCACACAUUUGAAGGGAACUGCUGAUCAGUUUUGACAAAUAUUUGCUCCCAGAGAAACUGCCACCCCCAUUACCCCCACAC